rnacentral:ncRNA from 1 species
AUCUUCAGGGCGGGGUGCAAUUCCCCACCGGCGGUACAGUCCGCGAGCCUUCGGGCCGACCCGGUGAAACUCCGGGACCGACAGUGACAGUCUGGAUGAAAGAAGAU